AGAGUUAAAUAGUACGUGAAAUUGUUGAAAGGGAAACGAUUAAAGUCAGCUGUGCCGGCGGGAAAUCAGCUUACAAGUUAUUGUGAGUGCACUUUCUCGCAAGGCAGGUUAGCAUCGGUUUUGGUUGCGUUAAAAUGAUUGCAAGAAGGUAGCUCCUUCGGGAGUGUUAUAGCUUGCUUUAGAUGACGUAGCUGAGACCGAGGAUUGCAGCGAAUGCUUUUGGCUACGGAUCUGGCCUCUGUCGACGAUUAAUUGGCCGUGAGCUUGCUCACGUACGGUUGAUUUGUUUACAACAGGUUUAGAAUCCGAUAAAUUCGCUAAGGAUGCUGACAUAAUGGCUUUAAACGACC
rnacentral:rRNA from 1 species